rnacentral:rRNA from 1 species
GAUGAACGCUAGCGACAGGCCUAACACAUGCAAGUCGAGGGGCAGCACGGUGUAGCAAUACACGGGUGGCGACCGGCGCACGGGUGAGUAACGCGUAUGCAACCUGCCUACUACAAGGGGAUAACCCGUUGAAAGACGGACUAAUACCCUAUAACACAGGGAAUCCGCAUGGAUAUAUUUGUUAAAGAUUUAUCGGUAGUAGAUGGGCAUGCGUUCCAUUAGCUUGUUGGUGAGGUAACGGCUCACCAAGGCAACGAUGGAUAGGGGAACUGAGAGGUUGAUCCCCCACACUGGAACUGAGACACGGUCCAGACUCCUACGGGAGGCAGCAGUGAGGAAUAUUGGUCAAUGGACGAGAGUCUGAACCAGCCAAGUCGCGUGAAGGAAGACGGCCCUACGGGUUGUAAACUUCUUUUGUAAGGGAAUAAAUAGUCUUACGCGCUAAGACGUUGCAGGUACCUUACGAAUAAGGAUCGGCUAACUCCGUGCCAGCAGCCGCGGUAA